UUAAGCUACAAAUUUUUCUCUUUCUUCAUGGAGCAAGAGUUCCAUGGAGAUGCUGUCUCUUCCGAGACAUCCGAUAAAAUUGGAACGAUACGGAGAAGAUUAGCAUGGCCCCCGCGCAAGGAUGACACGCACAAAUCGAGAAAUGGUCCAAAUUUUUUUUGUAAAUUUUUCUUCGAUUCUUCCCCAUGUUUUUCCCCUAUUCUUUGUUUUUGUUUUUCGGUUGAUCUGCAACCCUUCAAUUUCCCAUUCUCCCCAUAAAUUUUACGCGUUCACUGAAGAUUCCUUGGCUGAGGAAUGAUGAUUGAACUUUAAACUAUUCAGUUUCUCUUGCGUUCAGGACAGUGUACACUACGAUACUGUGUCAAAAUAUAGUUUGAGAUGACAACACAAGAAGUUUUUUUUCCAUCAUGUUGAAGCUACUCUGGCAUCUGAGGCCAGGGUCUUGGUCUUUGGAGCCUCGUGAGUGUUCGCCGGAAGGUUUCGAGGCAGGCUGUGGCUCCGAUCAGCUGCCAUGAGGGUUUCGAGGAGUGGCAUAAGGUUAAAUUUGAAAUGGGAGUUGAGUUCAAAGGAUGAUCUACAACAACAACAACAACAACUAACUCAUCCGUAUCCCAACUUAAUGGGGUCGGCUACAAGGAUCUGUGCAAAAACAAAGUAGGGAAAAUAUAAUAGUAGAAAUGAAGUAAAGAAGAAAAUAAGAAAUGGUAAAAGAGAAAGGAAAGAGAGAUGAAAGUAAGAGGAAAGGAAAGAGGCACAGCCUAGCAAGUCAGAAGAAACUCAACUAAAUGAGAUCGGCUACAUGGAUCAUUACCCUAGUUCAUAGAAUGAUCUAUUAGUUGCUAAAUUCUGCUGUAUGUGACUGCUUUUGUUUUUGUUUUUUUCCUUUCCUUCUUACAUGUCUCAGACGAGGGAGUUGGCAAUGCACAACUUGUGGGAGAGAUUUCAAUGCUUUUGUGAGGAAGACAUUUAUUAAUUAAUCUACUAUUCUUACAGGCUUGUUUGCAA